AGCAAAUAAAAGUACUUUUCUCGAAUGUAAAAUGACGAAAUGGAGGUGAGAUUGAAAGGAGGAAACCGGAGCACCCGGAGGAAACCCACGCAGACAAGGGGAGAAUAUGCAAACUCCACACAGAUAAUCACCCAAGGCAGGAAUCGAACCUGGGUCCCUGGCACUGUGAGGCAGCAGUGCCAACCACUGAGCUACUGAGCCACCCACAAGACUGGGUUCCUGGGUCUGAGGAGAUGGUAGUUCACACAUUCCUUGAAUCGCUACAGAACUCCCCGUAAUGUCCCACAAUUGGAGAAGUCUGGA